ACAGAGACAACAAGCCUAUUCAGCAACAUCCUCAUCUAAUAAAGACCAGCCUCCCUCACGCCAUUGGGAGAGACGCCGGUUCUCGCCCUGACUCCAGAAAGCCCUCUUCCCCUCCGCAGCCCCUCGGAUGCCGUGUGCAGUGCACCUCUCCCUCUCCUGCCAGGGCUACAGCAGCUGUGUCUCAGGUCCUUCCAGCACCUUCCGGCACCAGAGGCUCACGGGACGUCCUGCAAAUUCAGAUGGAGCCUCGCACAGAGAUCCCAGGGGGAACGUGAAGAGAGGGGCUCGUCUCUAAGGCGCCCGAGACGCUCCUGCAGCAGCGGAGGAACGAGCAGGGGGAGGGAGGCUGACAACCCAGAGGAGAGAAAGUGGAGCAUUGUUCUAAUAAAGCUCCUGUGACUCUUAUUACUCAGGAUUUAAUAACAGCAGGACUGGCCCUCUGCCAAGACCCAAAUCUCAUUCCGCGUUCAUUUUGAGAGCGGCCAGUGCGCCUCCGCCUGUAAGAAUCGAACGCGACUGAUGCAAGGGCUUGUGGUACAUGCUGCGAGAGCACUGGUAAAGGGGGGAAGCCUGUGAAUCACCAAUCAAGGUCAGGUGGCCUGGGCCAGGGGCGACCCGGUAGGGGUUCGUCUACCGCCGUUUUUUAACCAACAGGAAGGAAGGACAAAACCGUGACGUGUAUAUUAUUUCGUCCUCUGAGAUUGCCUUUAUCGGGCGGCUUAUUGCUUCACGGACUGAUCCCUGAAAAACAUCUCAAUGAGGCUGAAAAUACAAGGUGGCUCUUUGCCCGUAUCCUUGGCAACCAACGGCACCCGGACGGGAGUGAGUGGUCUGGCCGAGGUGGCGGUCCCCAGACACCAGGAGGACUCCUCCUCGUCCAUCAUUGCCCUGAUGGUGGUGGUAGCGCUAGGCUGCGCGGUGAUUGUGGCCUCGCUGGUGACUUUCCACUGCCAUCGGUGGCAGCUCCACAGCAGGAAACUCAGGAGAGCCCAGGCGGAGUACGAGAGUGACCGCAGCAGGGGCGCAGAGAGAGGAGCCCCGGGAUCCGCGCUGAGCACUUGAGCACAUCUCUCUCCGGGGUGGGUCCGAAUGUAAAUAAGGAAUGCACUUCCUGUUAGCUGUCAGAUGUCUCAAAGAAUGCAGGGACACAACAAAAUGGAUGACUAUUCAUCCUGGAUAUUGACACUUGUCCAAGGUCCAAGGAACACCUAUUUUUUGAACCAGUAAUGCAUAAAAAGAAAAAACAUAAAUGAAUCAAUAUAGCUCAGCUCAUUGAAGAGGGUUUUAUUUAGCUUCAACAAUAGUGUGUGGUUGUUUUUUGCUUUGGGGUGAGUUCAAAAAUGAAAAAUAUUUUAUAUUACUGAAAUAUUGAAAUCCAUGUUUAAAGCCACUUUCCAAAACAUUGCUCAAAAAUGUCUUUCUUUUUGAAAAACAUAUACUUAUUGAACAUUGUCCAUUACAACCAGACACAUACAGAAUGUAAGGUUUAAGAUAUUCCUCCAGCACCUCAAUCCCAUCCCAUCAAUCGAGAAAAGGUGAAAGUCACUUUCCAUACAGUAUAUCAGUUUAAGCAGCAAUCAGUUCAAAUAGAACAAAAUAUUGAUAUUUAUAUAUUAUAUGGCUAUUAAAAGAAUAAAAGCAUAGCUUUGUGUCUUUAAGCAGUGUAUGCGUAAAUAAUGGCUCAUAAAUAAUAUCAGUAUCAAUAGUUUUCUGCAGGAUUUGUAGCCUCUUCUUCAGAGAAAAACUGCAACUUAUGUAUUUUUCUUCAUUUACUUGUCCAUUAACAAGCAUUGCUGAUGGAAGUAACUUAUAAAAUAUUCAGACUUGUUCCUGCUAUGUACUCAGGAGAAGAAUGUCCUUGUCUAAAUCAUCCGUUAUGAUUAGAAAGUCGGAAAAGUGAUCAGAAAACAGCUGUGAGACAUUUGCUUAUUGUAAAGCACAGCUACAAUGGACUCACUGAACUGUGGAUACAGCUUAUACCAUGUCAAUAAGAUGAAUCCUGGCACUUCACCUUUCAUCCCAGUCAUUACCAUCAUGUAUUAUCAGUGGACUUUCCUUAUCUUUUCCUUUUCCUCAUAUAUAUGUAUUGUAGAACAGCUAAAGUAUGUGCUCUUCUCUCAUACACACAUCUGCAAGAUUGUGACCAGGUCCCACACAAUCAGCCAAACAGCAUACUACUGGAUAGCUAGCGCCCAUUUGAUGAGGCACACAUUUCGCUAAAACUGUUUCCAGUCACUGCAGUCUCCUGGUCACAAUUGGUUAAUAGCUUAGAUUCAAGCAAGCCGUGGUUAGGCUAUGGGACUAAGCCCACGUUUGUUUGCGCCUUUACCACUCACUGUACCAGUUGGCCAAGGUGCUCUGAUAUGUUUUAUAGGUGUUAAUAAAGUAGACAACAAAGUAGACUUGGACCGGCAGCCCACUGUAAUACAAAAAAACUGACUAUGAGCCGCACUUCACACACACGCAUACAGAAGAAUAGGGUCACCUUUUCUAUAAACAACACCUUCAUAUAGCACACAUAGCACCUUCCUGAGUAUGAGAUGACUGAUGUUUGAGAACAGUAACAUGGCGUGUUACAUACAGAACCAAACAGGGAAAUAUAAGUCUACUGGGUGUCAUGAAACACAUCUGCUUUUAUCUGGUUUGUAAGAACAGGCUCAUGAAGGUUUUAUGUAUACAUUAUCGAGGUAGUGACCAAAUAAAAUGAUAGUACUGUUAGAUUUUAGCUUCUGUAUACCGUGUGUCAAUUUUGUAUGGGAAACAAUCAACACAAAAGCAGAAAUACACAUCCAAAAUAGUACUUAAUUUGUGGGGAUGUUUUGUGAACAAUGCAUAAUAUACUUAUAUAGUAGACAGUAUUUGGAAUUCUUCCCUUGUAGGUAAGAAGUAGACAGUAUUCGUAAUCCUUUCCUUGUACUGAUUUUUAUGUUACUUUUGACACUAAUAUGUGAAUUGUAUAUACUACUUACUUGCCAUUUUGCUGUUAUAAAAGAUGCACUUUUCCUCAGUUUCGUCCUAAUUCCCUAAAAAAAACUACCCUGCGUGCUGAAAAUGGACAAUAUAAUUCAUUUCUGCCCAUUUACUGAUGGUUACUCAUACUUACAACCAGGACAAAUAUAAUUAUGUUUUUAUAUGUAUGCUUCUAAAAAUGUACUGCCUUUCUGUUCUGAGCAGAAAGGUAAAAGCAGGCCCUGUUUUUCAUUAGCUUCUCCACAAAUUAAUGUUGAGGAAGUGCUGCAUCUUUCCCCACAUGUUUAUUAAUGGUAUUUUUAUGGUUUUAUGGGGUAAUAAACUUAAAGAUGUGCCACAUCCCUCCUUUCCAGUUGAUUUUGUUAAAAGAAUAGCAAACAGGCUUUCCAAGUAUGGAUGAAAUUAUCAUUUAGCAAAAUGUUAAUGGUUUAUUCACUAACGGAAAUGUAACAUUUAUUACUGCCGUUUAGAGUAUAAUAGUAUUCAGAGAGUUUGAUUUAUUUUCGGCUUUACUGAUGUUUGUUUCCAUUAUAAGUCAACAGCACUGGCAAUUUACCGAAGGGCGCAUAAUCAUAAUUAUGUCCUUCUGUAUGCCUCUUUUAAACUGCUAAUGCUGAACUAUUGAAGUGCUACAGCUUUAAAUGUGUUAAGACAAUAAAAGCACCAAAUAUCACA